rnacentral:rRNA from 1 species
CGCUAUCACUCCUACGGGAGGCANCAGUAAGGAAUAUUGGACAAUGGGCGCAAGCCUGAUCCAGCCAUCCCGCGUGCAGGAAGACAGCCCUAUGGGUUUUAAACUGCUUUUAGAAGGGAAGAAACGCCUACAUUUAUGUGGGUUUGACGGUACCUUUCAGAAUAAGCACCGGCUAANUCCGUGCCAGCAGCCGCGGUAAUACGGAGGGUGCGAGCGUUAUCCGGAAUUACUGGGUUUAAAGGGUGCGUAGGCGGGCGAUUAAGUCAGAGGUGAAAGCUUUCAGCUUAACUGAGAAAUUGCCUUUGAUACUGAUUGUCUUGAAAUAUGUUGAGGUUAGCAGAAUGUGGCAUGUAGCGGUGAAAUGCAUAGAUAUGCCAUAGAAUACCAAUUGCGAAGGCAGCUAACUGGGCAUUAUUUGACGCUGAGGCACAGAAAGCGUGGGGAGCGAACAGGAUUAGAUACCCUGGUAG